AAACCUAGAAAUGGUUUUUCUUUCCAUGACGUGGCUGGUUGACGUGGGCGUGGUCUGGGGAGAGAGAGAGAAUAAAUAGUGAGAGGAAGAGAAGCUCGGUCUCUCUUUUCCCCCUGGACUUCUUCAGUCUGCAGGAGGAGCAGGACUCGAGCUGUUCAUGCUCUGCUGCUCCCUGAGGAUCUUUCUGGCCAUGGUGCCACUGCUUGCAUCUUUCCUAUCUCUGGAGGAGGAGGAGAAGUCAAAACACACUUGCCAAGGGGUGUGGCACUGAGUCCUUCUGCCUCCGGGUCGGGUCAUGUGGGGGAGCCACACCCUCCCUGAGGGGACGGGAAGCCCCUCUGCAGUCUUUAUCCGGGGUUCAGUGGGCCUGCAGUGUACAGCGCCAGGUCGACUCUGAUCUGCCAACUAAGCGCAAGACACCAGAAGCAACCACUUAAACAAACAAACAAACAAACGAACCACAAAAAACUAAACCACGAGAAGCUUUCCCUGGCUUCUGGUGUCUGUUGCUUGGUUGGCAGGUUUCUGUGGUUGGCCUGCCGUUGAAUGAACAACAACCUUUCAUUCGCUCUUUAAAGCUGUACGCCUUUUUUCAUUCUAACUUCAAAAAAUCUAUAAAAACAGUAAAAACAUGGAACAUAA